UCUUGAUGGGUGGUCACCUAGGUGGGGUUCCACUGCUUCUUACCUGAUGCUAUUCUCUCUGAGGAGAGAUGAGACUUAUCAUCAACUACCUCUUAACGGCCAGCCAGAUGCUUAUGGAAAGCCCUCAAGCAGCACAUGAGCACAAUAGCCCUCUCCUGCUGCUGUUUCUCAGUGAAUAGGGCCUCUGAUCCUGGAUGCUGUGGAAUGAUCUCUCCUCUGAGGUGUGUUAUGCACCAAUGCUAUUGGAGUUUUGUCGACAGAGCUCUGCUGAGGCCCUGUGUCCUUGAUGUUACACAGGACCAGUCAGGAAGUGUGAAGAGAGGCCUUCCCCUUCCAGAGUAACUAAAUGUUGGCAGAAUCCAGAACAGGUAAGAAUCCUGCUCUUGGAGCCUGAAAUGCCUUCUGGAGUCAGGAGAGAACCAAGUCAUCACCUUCCUCCACAUGAGCCUUUUCGACAAUUUCAUUCAUCUUCUGAGACUCUGCUUCAGAAAUAUGGUGGGUGUGUAUCCAAAGACAGGGCCUUUUCAGUAGUGGUGCCCAAGAACUGAAACAGCCUCUCAAGGGACAGCUGUCUUGUCCCCUCACUGCUAACUUUUAGAUGGACAGCAAAGACUGUUUUAUUUCAACAAGCAGGUGCCUAUUCUUAGUCUGAAGCCAAGCCCGACAGAUGGAAUAUGCAAAAGACAUUUCUCAUUCUUUUACAUGACAAUGAAUUGUUCAAGGCUGCAACACUUUGUAGCUUUAGAAUGACUGGAAUAUGCCAGAACCCUAAUAGGGGCACCAGAUUUUCCUUGUGAACUAGUACUGUAAAUUCACAAAAAUGUACAAGGUGAUCAAAUUUCCUGUAAAGAAACUAAUGCAAGUGGUGAAUGCACCAUGCCAGUUACUACUGACCAAGGGCAGAUUUCAAUGGGCUUAAACAUGAACCCUGCAUGCACAGAACAUCUUCAUAAACAAGAUGUUAUAAUUUUAUACCAAAUCAUACACUAUAUUCAGUUUUAACUUCUCCACUCUUCUUCCUUGACACAAAUCAAGUAUAAGUAUUUUAAAUAAAGAAACGUCUAUACAAGUGCACACUGGAAACCUGCAUUUCCUUAAAAGGUCGCCGACAAUCCUGAGUCUUCUGAUUUUUCUUCACUUCGCACAAAAGCAGUAAACUAUACCAUCCAGCUUAAUUAAGCAUAUGGUGGAAGUAAUUACAUCCUUUUUCUUGGGGGGAAAAACCAGAGGGAAGCUGGUUUAGAUACGACAGGCAUAAUUACAUACAAACUGACUAAGCAAAACAAUCACUUAUACAGAGUUCAUACAAGAGAUUCUCCUGAGCAUCUUAUCAGAAAGAUCCAGUUAUUACUCUAGCUUUGAGAACAGUGUAAGCUCCCUUUGUUUUCCCACCAAAUUUGAGUUUCAUUUAUCAACAGAGUGCAAUUCUUGAUUUUUACAAGGUCAUAAGAGCUUCCAAUUUCCUAUGUCUCCUUGUAAUUACUGCAAAAUGUGGGCCCACAAAUAGCUUACCAAUAACAAAAAAAAGUCAUAGUGCAGCAUAAUAGGAAAGUAUACAUAUGAAUAAGCUUUUGUAGCCUUCUUACGUUCUGCACUGCUUCCAGAUAUUCUAUUAUUCGUUCUGGGAACAGUUUCCAAAUUAUACAUAAUUAAUCAGACUAGAAAAUGUCAAGUAAACAAAUGCAUUACAAUAAUAAACUGUUCAUUAAAUACUAAACAGUAGUCCUCCUUCAACAUAGCAAAAAUGUCCUCAUUACUAACGUGCUCAUGAAUAGGAAUAAUUUGCAAGGUAAUCACAAACUGUUUGGCUAAGAAGAGUUGAUGAAGCAUCUUUCAAAACCAUCAUCACACUUUUCUAAAAUAAAACUAAGAUAGCAAGUUUAAAUAUUUCAUCAAAGGACAUAGCCUCUUUCAAACAAUCUGGCACCUUCUACAUCCACAUAACUCAUAACACAAACCACUAAACUGGAUAUCUAAAAGGACAAAACCAAUUCAUUCCAUUUGUUCAUUAGCAAGCAUGCAAAGCUGAGCAUGUAAUAAAACAGAGAGAACACUGUAUGUAAAGGUGCUUGACCAUCCUCCUUGAGGCAAAUCAUUUUCUCUCCAACAUAAAAUA